ACUAUAGUUGAGGCGUAGUUGCCUGCAAAAAAGUGACUUUCUUUUUCCAGAUAUUGAAUAGAUUUCCUUAAAUACGGAUGGACCAGCAAUUGUAUUUGUUUGGAUAGGAUCUUAUACUCACUGCUGAUCCUGUUACCGCGUCGGCAGUGUGGGAAUUGCUUGCUGUUAUAUAACAUUUUCUGGAAAUGUGAAUCAUUGACUUCAUUUAUAGCCCUAUUAAAAUCACCAAUCAAUGA
rnacentral:sRNA from 1 species